AUGCUCUCUCAAGGUUUCAAAAGGUCUAAUUAUGAUAGUUGUGUUUAUUUGAAAACUGUCAAAGGUUCAACUAUUUAUUUGCUCCUUUAUGUUGAUGAUAUGCUAAUUGCUGCAAAGAGUAUGUCAGAUAUUGAUGAACUAAAGAAGCAAUUGAGUAAUGAAUUUGAGAUGAAGGAUUUGGGUGCAGCAAAGAAAAUACUUGGCAUGGAAAUAUCCAGAGAUAGACCAUCUGGAAAAGUAUAUCUAAGUCAAAAGGGAUAUAUUGAUAAAGUUCUUCGUCGUUUUAAUAUGCAUAAUGCCAAGCCGGUGAGUACUCCGUUAGCUGCACACUUCAAAUUAUCAUCAGCUUUAUGUCCUAAGUCAGAUGCAGAUAUUGAGUACAUGUCUAGAGUUCCCUAUUCAAGUGCAGUUGGUUCACUUAUGUAUGCCAUGGUUUGUUCUCGUCCGGAUUUAUCAUAUGCAUUGAGUGUUGUCAGUAGAUACAUGGCUAAUCCUGGAAAAGAGCAUUGGAAAGCAGUUCAGUGGAUUUUCAGAUACCUGCGAGGUACUUCUAAUGCUUAUUUAUAG
rnacentral:rRNA from 1 species